rnacentral:rRNA from 1 species
UACGUAGGUGACACGCGUUGUCCGGAUUUACUGGGCGUAAAGAGCGCGCAGGCGGUCGUUCAAGUCGAGUGUGAAAGCCCCCGGCUCAACUGGGGAGGGUCACUCGAUACUGAUCGACUCGAAGGCAGGAGAGGGAAGUGGAAUUCCCGGUGUAGUGGUGAAAUGCGUAGAUAUCGGGAGGAACACCAGUGGCGAAGGCGACUUCCUGGCCUGUUCUUGACGCUGAGGCGCGAAAGCUAGGGGAGCAAACGGG